GCGGAGGAAAAGAAAAUAACAAUGAUUUCCCUAGUAACGGCGAGUGAAGAGGAAAGAGCUCAAAGUUGGAACCUGUUUGGCUUAGCCAAACCGGAUUGUAAACUGUAGAAGUGUUUUCCAGACACGCCUGGUAAAAAAGUCCUUUGGAACAGGGCAUCAUAGAGGGUGAGAAUCCCGUCUUUGGCCAGAGCUGUUGUCUUUUGUGAUACAUUUUCAAAGAGUCAGGUUGUUUGGGAAUGCAGCCUAAAUUGGGUGGUAAAUCUCACCUAAAGCUAAAUAUUUGCGAGAGACCGAUAGCGAACAAGUACCGUGAGGGAAAGAUGAAAAGAACUUUGAAAAGAGAGUUAAACAGUAUGUGAAAUUGUUAAAAGGGAACCGUUUGGAGCCAGACUGGCUUGAUCGUAAUCAAUCUAAGCUUCGGCUUGGAUGCACUUGCGGUCUUUGCCUGCCAACGACAAUUUUUUUUGGAGGAAAAAACCAGGAGAAACGUGGCCCCUCGGGGUGUUAUAGUCUCUUGGAAAAUACUCUGAAUUGGAUUGAGGAACGCAGUGAAUGCCUUUAGGCAAGAUUGCUGGGCGCUUUCGCUAAUAGAUGUUAGAAUUUCUGCCUCGGGUGGUGCUGAUGUCUAGCAGAGAAACUCGCCUAGUAUAUUUUUUAUUCGCUUAGGUUGUUGGCUUAAUGACUCUAAAUGAC
rnacentral:rRNA from 1 species